rnacentral:rRNA from 1 species
UACGUAGGGGGCAAGCGUUGUCCGGAUUCAUUGGGCGUAAAGAGCGUGUAGGCGGCCUGGAAGGUCAGCUGUGAAAACUCGAGGCUCAACCUCGAGACGUCGGUUGAAACCACCUGGCUAGAGUCCGGAAGAGGAGUGUGGAAUUCCCGGUGUAGCGGUGGAAUGCGCAGAUAUCGGGAGGAACACCGAUGGCGAAGGCAGAUCUCUGGGCCGUAACUGACGCUGAGGAGCGAAAGCGUGGGGAGCGAACAGG